AGAAACCGGUAAAUACGAGGCUCUGAGUACGAUAGUCUGGGAAGGUUGUGUACAUCAGCUGGCAUGGCGGGCGGCGACUUCAAGAGGGGGUGACCAGCGUCUCCACCAUCAGCCCCGCGUGAACAAGAUGGGAGUGACCAGCCCCCCCUUCCAGUCAGGAGGAAGGGUACCAGACUGCCAACCAUGGGAGUGACCAGCCCCCCCUUCCAGUCAGGAGGAAGGGUACCACAUUGCCAACCGUAAGUCAAGACCACAUCAAGACCAUGACCUUGUCUCCAGCUAUGAGCAGUUGGACACUGCUCGCUUAGAGGGUUUGCCAUGCAGAGCUGCUCAAAGUAGGUACUCAGCCCAAAUGGAUUAAAGUUGAGGAAAAAUCACGUGACUUGGAAGCAGGUGCUGAUUGGUCGUGACAUCACGAUGCAGUUGGGAGGCCGCCAACUUUGUGUUUCUCUGAGAUUUUGUGUUGUGGUGUAUGUUUCUUGUGGCUAGCAAUGUCUGGAGACAUAACCCG